rnacentral:rRNA from 1 species
UACGGGGGGAGCAAGCGUUGUUCGGAUUUACUGGGCGUAAAGGGCGCGUAGGCGGCGCAACAAGUCACUUGUGAAAUCUCCGGGCUUAACCCGGAGCGGCCAAGUGAUACUGUCGUGCUAGAGUGCGGAAGAGGCUACUGGAAUUCUCGGUGUAGCGGUGAAAUGCGUAGAUAUCGAGAGGAACACCUGCGGCGAAGGCGGGUAGCUGGACCGACACUGACGCUGAGGCGCGAAAGCCAGGGGAGCGAACGUG